UGGGGAAUAUUGCACAAUGGGCGCAAGCCUGAUGCAGCAACGCCGCGUGAGGGACGACGGCCUUCGGGUUGUAAACCUCUUUUGGCAGGGAAGAAGCGAAAGUGACGGUACCUGCAGAAAAAGCACCGGCUAACUACGUGCCAGCAGCCGCGGUGAUACGUAGGGUGCAAGCGUUGUCCGGAAUUAUUGGGCGUAAAGAGCUCGUAGGCGGUUGGUCGCGUCUGCUGUGAAAACCCGAGGCUCAACCUCGGGCCUGCAGUGGGUACGGGCAAACUAGAGUGCGGUAGGGGAGAUUGGAAUUCCUGGUGUAGCGGUGGAAUGCGCAGAUAUCAGGAGGAACACCGAUGGCGAAGGCAGAUCUCUGGGCCGUAACUGACGCUGAGGAGCGAAAGCAUGGGGAGCGAACA
rnacentral:rRNA from 1 species